rnacentral:rRNA from 1 species
UACGUAGGUGGCAAGCGUUGUCCGGAUUUAUUGGGUUUAAAGGGUGCGUAGGCGGCCCUGUAAGUCAGUGGUGAAAUACGCCCGCUCAACGGGCGAGGUGCCAUUGAUACUGUAGGGCUUGAGUACAGACGAGGUAGGCGGAAUUGACGGUGUAGCGGUGAAAUGCAUAGAUAUCGUCAAGAACACCGAUAGCGAAGGCAGCUUACUAGGCUGUAACUGACGCUGAGGCACGAAAGUGUGGGGAUCAAACAGG